UACGUAGGGGGCAAGCGUUGUCCGGAAUCAUUGGGCGUAAAGAGCGUGUAGGCGGCCCGAUAAGUCCGCCGUGAAAGUCCAGGGCUCAACCCUGGAAUGCCGGUGGAAACUGUCGGGCUGGAGUCCGGAAGAGGCGAGUGGAAUUCCUGGUGUAGCGGUGAAAUGCGCAGAUAUCAGGAGGAACACCAAUGGCGAAGGCAGCUCGCUGGGACGGUACUGACGCUGAGACGCGAAAGCGUGGGAAGCAAACAGG
rnacentral:rRNA from 1 species